AAACUUAAAAGGCAAACCUAUUGAAAAAUAGGGACGCAAAGCUACGAGUCUAAGGGUAUUACCUAUGAUAGUCGGGUCGCAGUA
rnacentral:ncRNA from 2 species